AUUUGAAAUCUGGCGGCUCUGCCGUCCGAGUUGUAUUCUGGAGAAGCGUCUUCCGCGCCGGACCGUGUACAAGUGCCUUGGAACAGGACGUCAUAGAGGGUGAGAAUCCCGUCUUUGACACGGACCCCCGGCGCUCUGCGAUGCGCUCUCGAAGAGUCGAGUUGUUUGGGAAUGCAGCUCAAAACGGGUGGUAAAUUCCAUCUAAAGCUAAAUAUUGGCGAGAGACCGAUAGCGAACAAGUACCGUGAGGGAAAGAUGAAAAGCACUUUGGAAAGAGAGUAAAACAGUACGUGAAAUUGUUGAAAGGGAAACGCUUGAAGUCAGUCGCGUCUGCCGGAACUCAGCCUCGCUUCUGCUUGGCGCACUUUCCGGUCCGACGGGCCAGCAUCGGUUUCGCGCGGCGGACACUGGCGGGGGGAAGGUGGCGGCUCCGGCCGCGUUAUAGCCUCUCGCCGCGAACGUCGCUCGGGACCGAGGAAUCCGGCGCGAGCCUGGGAUGCUGGCGUAAUGGCUUUAAACGACCCGUCUUGAAACACGGACCAAGGAGUGCUACGUGCUCGCGAGUGUUCGGGUGGAAAACCCGGGCGCGCAAUGAAAGUGAAAGUCGAUACCCCUCGCGGGGGCACCGACGCCCGAGCCCGAUGUUUUCGGACGGCCUUGCGGUAGAGCGAGUGCGUUGCGACCCGAAAGAUGGUGAACUAUUCCUGAGGAGGGCGAAGCCAGAGGAAACUCUGGUGGAGGCUCGUAGCGGUUCUGACGUGCAAAUCGAUCGCA
rnacentral:rRNA from 1 species